GCGGCGCCAAGCCGGGCCCUGAGGGCGGGAAACCUCGGACUGGGAGGUUGGAAGCUGGAACCUCCUUCAGAAUGGUUGGCUUAAGGUGGCACCAGCCCCUGGUCUGAUGUUAUGUGAGGGAAGUGUGCUUCCAGAUGGCUCCUUCGAGUUCAUUUCCCUUCCGCAGUCCCCGUUCUGGCCUUUGAUUCUUUUGAGGAUCAUUUUGGCAGCUGUGCUGAGAAUACACUGAAGGAGAACAAAGAGGAAGCAAAGAGGAAGCAUGGACACCAAUUACGAAGUUAUUUCAGUAAGUAAUCCAGGGGGAAAUUUGGACACAGAGGAAGACAUAAAGAGAAGACGAUGUGAAAACAAGGAGAACACCAUCUAUAAGCCAAGUUACGCCUGACGUUACCAGAAACUAGGAGAAAGGAAUGAAAUAGAUUCUCCCUCAGCCCUCAGAAGGAACUAACCUGAUUUCAGACUUGUAGCCUUUAAAGUGUAAGACAAUAAAUUUCUGUUGUUUAAGCCACUCAGCUUGUGACACUUUGUUAUAGCAGCCCCAGGAAAUUAACAUACUAGGGAAUCAGUGGAUGCCCCCCAGAGCAGCUGGCAUCAGGACGCACUUUCCCUCAGUUUUGGUAUCUGUAGAUUUCCCUUACUUUCUAACAGUACAACUCUGAAUUCCAAAUUAUAUUUUAAAAAGUAUUUUAUCCAUAAUUAAUUUAUUUUGAUUUGGGAAGA